CUGCUCGCUCCUGCAGCACCUACACUAAAAUUGGGACAAUACACAGAAGGCUGGCGUGUCCACCGCACAAGGAUGACUUGCCAAGGUGUGCAGCAUUCUGUAUAUUU
ensembl:snRNA U6 U6 spliceosomal RNA